GACGAACGCUGGCGGCGUGCCUAAUACAUGCAAGUUGAGCGAUGAAGCUUGGUGCUUGCACCAAUUUGAAGAGCAGCGAACGGGUGAGUAACGCGUGGGGAAUCUGCCUUUGAGCGGGGGACAACAUUUGGAAACGAAUGCUAAUACCGCAUAACAACUUUAAACAUAAGUUUUAAGUUUGAAAGAUGCAAUUGCAUCACUCAAAGAUGAUCCCGCGUUGUAUUAGCUAGUUGGUGAGGUAAAGGCUCACCAAGGCGAUGAUACAUAGCCGACCUGAGAGGGUGAUCGGCCACAAUGGGACUGAGACACGGCCCAAACUCCUACGGGAGGCAGCAGUAGGGAAUCUUCGGCAAUGGACGAAAGUCUGACCGAGCAACGCCGCGUGAGUGAAGAAGGUUUUCGGAUCGUAAAACUCUGUUGGUAGAGAAGAACGUUGGUGAGAGUGGAAAGCUCAUCAAGUGACGGUAACUACCCAGAAAGGGACGGCUAACUACGUG
rnacentral:rRNA from 1 species